rnacentral:rRNA from 1 species
GAUGAACGCUGGCGGCGUGCCUAAUACAUGCAAGUCGAGCGAACGGACGAGAAGCUUUCUUCUCUGAUGUUAGCGGCGGACGGGUGAGUAACACGUGGAUAACCCACCUAUAAGACUGGGAAAACUUCGGGAAACCGGAGCUAAUACCGGAUUAUAUUUUGAACCGCAUGGUUCAAAAGUGAAAGACGGUCUUUCUGUCACUUAUAGCUGGAUCCGCGCUGCAUUAGCUAGUUGGUAAGGUAACGGCUUACCAAGGCAACGAUGCAUAGCCGACCUGAGAGGGUGAGCGGCCACACUGGAACUGAGACACGGUCCAGACUCCUACGGGAGGGAGCAGUAGGGAAUCUUCCGCAAUGGGCGCAAGCCUGACGGAGCAACGCCGCGUGAGUGGUGAGGGUCUUCGGAUCGUAAAACCCUGUUAUUAGGGAGGAACAGAUUUGUGAGUAACUGUGCGCAUAUUGACGGUACCGGGUAAGAAAGCCACGGCUAACUACGUG